rnacentral:rRNA from 1 species
UACAGAGAGUGCAAGCGUUAAUCGGAAUUACUGGGCGUAAAGCGCGCGUAGGUGGAUACUUAAGUCGGAUGUGAAAUCCCUGGGCUUAACCUAGGAAUUGCAUCUGAUACUGGGUAUCUCGAGUGUGGUAGAGGGAAGUGGAAUUUCCGGUGUAGCGGUGAAAUGCGUAGAUAUCGGAAAGAACACCAGUGGCGAAGGCGGCUUCCUGGACCAACACUGACACUGAGGCGCGAAAGCGUGGGGAGCAAACAGG